AGUGAACGCUGGCGGUAGGCCUAACACAUGCAAGUCGAACGGCAGCACAGAGGAGCUUGCUCCUUGGGUGGCGAGUGGCGGACGGGUGAGGAAUACAUCGGAAUCUACUCUGUCGUGGGGGAUAACGUAGGGAAACUUACGCUAAUACCGCAAACGACCUAAGGGUGAAAGCAGGGGAUCUUCGGACCUUGCGCGAUUGAAUGAGCCGAUGUCGGAUUAGCUAGUUGGCGGGGUAAAGGCCCACCAAGGCGACGAUCCGUAGCUGGUCUGAGAGGAUGAUCAGCCACACUGGAACUGAGACACGGUCCAGACUCCUACGGGAGGCAGCAGUGGGGAAUAUUGGACAAUGGGCGCAAGCCUGAUCCAGCCUUACCGCGUGGGUGAAGAAGGCCUUCGGGUUGUAAAGCCCUUUUGUUGGGAAAGAAAUCCGUCUGGUUAAUACCCGGAUGGGAUGACGGUACCCAAAGAAUAAGCACCGGCUAACUUCGUGCCAGCCGCCGCCGUAA
rnacentral:rRNA from 1 species